rnacentral:rRNA from 1 species
UACGUAGGGACCGAGCGUUGUCCGGAAUCAUUGGGCGUAAAGAGCGAGUAGGAGCGGCCUGUUAAGUCUUGCGUGAAAUCUCGGGGCUCAACCCCGAGCGGUCGUGAGAAACUGGCAGGCUAGAGUGCGGGAGAGGGAGAGUGGAAUUCCUGGUGUAGCGGUGAAAUGCGCAGAUAUCAGGAAGAACACCCGUGGCGAAGGCGGCUCUCUGGAACGCAACUGACGCUGAGACGCGAAAGCGUGGGGAGCAAACAGG